CCUACGGGAGGCAGCAGUGAGGAAUAUUGGUCAAUGGACGAGAGUCUGAACCAGCCAAGUAGCGUGAAGGAUGACUGCCCUAUGGGUUGUAAACUUCUUUUAUAUGGGAAUAAAAUGUGCCACGUGGGGGAUUUUGUAUGUACCAUAUGAAUAAGGAUAGGCUAACUCCGUGCCAGCAGACGCGGUAAUACGGAGGGUCCGAGCGUUAUCCGGAUUUAGUGGGUUUAAAGGGAGCGUAGUUGGUUUGUUAAGUCAGUUGUGAAGGUUUGCGGCUCACCCGUAAAAUUGCAGUUUAUACUGGCAGUCUUGAGUACAGUAGAGGUGGGCGGAAUUCGUGGUGUAGCGGU
rnacentral:rRNA from 1 species